AUGUACUCCUACAUUGCGAAUUCUGGAUCAGUGCUGCGAGUGGUCGAAUCCUGCUUCGUCACGCCGAGCGGCGCGACGCCGCAGAAACGGCUGUGGCUCUCGGCGCUGGACCUGGUGCUGGCCAGCAGAGGCCACACCCCGCUCGUCCACUUCUACAGCGCCGGUGACGUCGCCGCCGCCGGGGACGGCUUCUUCGACGUGGCCAGGGUCAAGGAGUCCCUGGCCAAGGCGCUGGUGCCCUUCUACCCUCUCGCCGGCCGCCUCGGCAUGGAUUCCGAUGGCCGGUUCGAGAUCGACUGCAACGGGGAGGGCGCCCUCUUCGUCGUGGCUCACUCCGACCGCACCUUCGACGACUUCAGCGACCACAAGCCGUCGCCGGAGAUACGGAGGCUGUUCUGUCCUCCCGUUCAGCCGUCGUCCGUUAUACUGGCCUUACAGGUGACCUUCUUGUUGUGCGGCGGUGUGGUACUGGGGACGGCGACGCACCACGCCGCGGCGGACGGUCCCAGCAUCUUCCAUUUCAUCCGGACGUGGGCAGGCUACUGCAGGGACGGCGAGAGCGCGGCGGUAGAGCUCCCGUGCCACGACCGCGGACUCCUCCGCGCGCGGUCCCCGGCCGUCAUCCACCCCGAGACCAUCCCCACGUUCUGCAGCAGGCUACCCCAGCACGAGCCGUCCGGCGCCGUCGCAACCCAGGUCUUCACCAUCUCCAAGGACCAGGUGCACGCCCUUAAGCGCCUGUGCGGCGGCGCUAGCACGUUCUGCGCCGUGAGCGCCCUAGUUUGGCAGUGCGCAUGCGUCGCCCGGGAGCUGCACCCGAAAGCGACCACGCGCAUCAACUUCCCCGUGGACAUCAGGCACCGCCUCACGCCGCCGCUGCCGGCCCGCUACUUCGGAAACGGAAUGGCUUUACACACGACACAAACUGCACGAUCUGUGAACGAUAACACUGUGCAGUAGCCUUCGGAAACGCCGGCCAGCCGGGUGAGAUCCGCGACGGAGCGGCUCGACGAUGAGCUGCUGAGGUCCGCCGUGGACUACUUCGAGGUGGCGGAGAAGGACGGGCAGACGGAGCAGAGGGGGAACCUGCCGGAGACGGAGCUGCGGAUGAACAGCUGGUACCACCUGCCCAUGUACGACGCCGACUUCGGAUGGGGGAAGCCGCGGGUGAUGACGAGGGCGGAGGCUGUACGCGGCGGCUGGGUGUACCUCUUGUCUGGCGGCGGCGAUGGCAGCGCGCGCCUGCUCAUAUCUUUGGAGCCGGCGACUCUCAGCAAGUUCGGGCUCGCAGUUGCUGAACGCCAAGUUCUUGCCGGUGUGCAUGCUAGGCUGUGA
rnacentral:rRNA from 1 species